UUAAGCGACUAAGCGUACACGGUGGAUGCCCUGGCAGUCAGAGGCGAUGAAGGACGUGCUAAUCUGCGAAAAGCGUCGGUAAGGUGAUAUGAACCGUUAUAGCCGGCGAUGUCCGAAUGGGGAAACCCAGUGCAAUUCGUUGCACUAUCGUUAACUGAAUACAUAGGUUAACGAGGCGAACCGGGGGAACUGAAACAUCUAAGUACCCCGAGGAAAAGAAAUCAACCGAGAUUCCCCCAGUAGCGGCGAGCGAACGGGGAGCAGCCCAGAGUCUGAAUCAGCUUGUGUGUUAGUGGAACGGUCUGGAAAGUCCGACGGUACAGGGUGAUAGUCCCGUACACCAAAAUGCACAGGUUGUGAACUCGAAGAGUAGGGCGGGACACGUGGUAUCCUGUCUGAAUAUGGGGGGACCAUCCUCCAAGGCUAAAUACUCCUGACUGACCGAUAGUGAACCAGUACCGUGAGGGAAAGGCGAAAAGAACCCCGGCGAGGGGAGUGAAAAAGAACCUGAAACCGUGUACGUACAAGCAGUGGGAGCCUCUUUAUGGGGUGACUGCGUACCUUUUGUAUAAUGGGUCAGCGACUUAUAUUCUGUAGCAAGGUUAACCGUAUAGGGGAGCCGAAGGGAAACCGAGUCUUAACUGGGCGUUAAGUUGCAGGGUAUAGACCCGAAACCCGGUGAUCUAGCCAUGGGCAGGUUGAAGGUUGGGUAACACUAACUGGAGGACCGAACCGACUAAUGUUGAAAAAUUAGCGGAUGACUUGUGGCUGGGGGUGAAAGGCCAAUCAAACCGGGAGAUAGCUGGUUCUCCCCGAAAGCUAUUUAGGUAGCGCCUCGUGAACUCAUCUUCGGGGGUAGAGCACUGUUUCGGCUAGGGGGUCAUCCCGACUUACCAACCCGAUGCAAACUACGAAUACCGAAGAAUGUUAUCACGGGAGACACACGGCGGGUGCUAACGUCCGUCGUGAAGAGGGAAACAACCCAGACCGCCAGCUAAGGUCCCAAAGUCAUGGUUAAGUGGGAAACGAUGUGGGAAGGCACAGACAGCCAGGAUGUUGGCUUAGAAGCAGCCAUCAUUUAAAGAAAGCGUAAUAGCUCACUGGUCGAGUCGGCCUGCGCGGAAGAUGUAACGGGGCUAAACCAUGCACCGAAGCUGCGGCAGCGACACUAUGUGUUGUUGGGUAGGGGAGCGUUCUGUAAGCCGUUGAAGGUGGCCUGUGAGGGUUGCUGGAGGUAUCAGAAGUGCGAAUGCUGACAUAAGUAACGAUAAAGCGGGUGAAAAGCCCGCUCGCCGGAAGACCAAGGGUUCCUGUCCAACGUUAAUCGGGGCAGGGUGAGUCGACCCCUAAGGCGAGGCCGAAAGGCGUAGUCGAUGGGAAACAGGUUAAUAUUCCUGUACUUGGUGUUACUGCGAAGGGGGGACGGAGAAGGCUAUGUUAGCCGGGCGACGGUUGUCCCGGUUUAAGCAUGUAGGCGGAGGUUCCAGGUAAAUCCGGUACCUUUUUAACGCUGAGGUGUGAUGACGAGGCACUACGGUGCUGAAGUAACAAAUGCCCUGCUUCCAGGAAAAGCCUCUAAGCAUCAGGUAACACGAAAUCGUACCCCAAACCGACACAGGUGGUCAGGUAGAGAAUACCAAGGCGCUUGAGAGAACUCGGGUGAAGGAACUAGGCAAAAUGGUGCCGUAACUUCGGGAGAAGGCACGCUGAUAUGUAGGUGAAGCGACUUGCUCGUGGAGCUGAAAUCAGUCGAAGAUACCAGCUGGCUGCAACUGUUUAUUAAAAACACAGCACUGUGCAAACACGAAAGUGGACGUAUACGGUGUGACGCCUGCCCGGUGCCGGAAGGUUAAUUGAUGGGGUUAUCCGUAAGGAGAAGCUCUUGAUCGAAGCCCCGGUAAACGGCGGCCGUAACUAUAACGGUCCUAAGGUAGCGAAAUUCCUUGUC
rnacentral:rRNA from 1 species